UUGGGCACGAGGGCCAUUGGGGACCUAGGCAUCGAUGGCAUGCGCUCAGAGCCAGGCUGGAGGAAGGCCAUGCUCCCUAGAGGAGCUGCUCGCGUUGCCCUGGCGAAGGCCGAGGACGACGCGAAUAGGGAAGAGCAGGGUCAUGUGAUCUUGAGGAAGGCAGGGGUGUGCCAUGGAGCUCGUGAGCAGGGGCUAGAGGGGAGUGACUGGUGGAGUGCGCGAGCUGCUGACGGCUGUGUCGUCCCUGUACUCCAUUUCUUCCUCUUCCAGUUCGUCCAGCGGCAGCACCUAGCGGGGCACCUGCACGAGCUGCUGACAGCUGCGUCGUCUGGCACUGGUGACUUCCCAUACUUGCAACCUUCUCAACCCGCUUUCACACAGCCUUCUCGAACUGCUUUCACACAGCCUUCUCAAGCCGCUUUCAUACAGCCUUCUCAACCCGCUUUCACACAGCCUUCUCAAGCCGCUUUCGCACAUCCUUCUCAAGCUACAAUCACACAAGACAUUUCUAAUGAAGAUGAUGAUCUCAGAGUAUUAGAUCCAAUAGCCCCUACAUCAGUGAGCAAAAGGGCAAAAAAUGUUGGUGCUGGUAGUUCAAGAACAAGAAUUGACAAGCGUGGACAAGAUGGGAAGAUGGUUGAGAUGAUGGAAAGGUUUCUAGAGAUGAAAGAAAAACAAGAUGAGGUGGAGAAAAGGGCCACAACUAAUGCACAUGAGGAUGAUUUCCCUAUUCAGACAUGCAUUGCUAUUGUGGAUGGAAUGGAAGAGCUUUCUGAUGAUGAGAAGGUUGAUGCUUAUGAUGUGUUUAAGGAUGCCCAAAACCGGGCCAUUUUCAUGACUGCCAAAGAUGCUACUCGCAUAAAAUGGUUGAGGAAGAAGAUUGCAAGAACAUGA
rnacentral:misc_RNA from 1 species